AGAGAGAGACAUGCGCGCAUAUCAAUAAGCGGAGGAAAAGAAACUAACAAGGAUUCCCCCUAGUAACGGCGAGUGAAGCGGGAAGAGCUCAAAUUUGAAAUCUUAAAGGGUUUCCCUUUACGAAUUGUAGUUUAAAGAAGUGUUUUCUGUUGAGGUUUUGGUAAAAGUUCUUUGGAAUAGGACAUCAUAGAGGGUGAGAAUCCCGUAUUUGACCUUUACUUUCAACUUUGUGAUACACUUUCAAAGAGUCGGAUUGUUUGGGAAUGCAGUCCAAAAUGGGUGGUAAAUUUCAUCUAAAGCUAAAUAUUGGCGAGAGACCGAUAGCGAACAAGUACCGUGAGGGAAAGAUGAAAAGAACUUUGAAAAGAGAGUUAAACAGUACGUGAAAUUGUCAAAAGGGAAGCGUUUGACACCAGUGUUGUUUUUCUGAAAAUCAAUUAAAGAACUGUUUAUGCUAAGUUGUUUAGACUUUAUCAGCUAAUCUGUUUAGUUUUGAGCUUUUCUUUAAUGCACUUUUCAGUUAACAAGUCAACAUCAAUUUCUUUUGCUGUAAAAAAGCUUGAGGAAGGUGGCUUGAGAUUCGUCUUAAGUGUUUAUAGCCUCUUGCCUAUGCAGUCGGAGAGAUUGAGGUCUGCAGCGUAGAUCCUUCGGGGCUAAAUGCAUUUGUGCUAAGUUAUAGCAUUUUAUAGACAACUUGUUGACUAUGAUUUGUCUUGUAGCUUACUCGCUUAUGUUAUUUUACCUACGCUUAGGAUGUUGACGCAUGAGAUAUACGC
rnacentral:rRNA from 1 species